rnacentral:rRNA from 1 species
GGGUCAGUAGGUUGGUCGUGCCACCGGUACGUACUGGUCUCACUGAUUCCUCCUUCCUGAAGAACCGUAAUGCCAUUAAUUUGGUGUUGCGGGGAGACAGGACUGUUACUUUGAAAAAAUUAGAGUGUUUAAAGCAAGCUAACGCUUGAAUACACUAGCAUGGAAUAAUGAAAUAGGACGAUCGAUCCUAUUUUGUUGGUUUCUAGGAUUGACGUA